AUUGAACGCUGGCGGCAUGCCUUACACAUGCAAGUCGAACGGCAGCACGGGUGCUUGCACCUGGUGGCGAGUGGCGAACGGGUGAGUAUUACAUCGGAACAUGUCCUGUAGUUGGGGAUAGCCCGGCGAAAGCCGGAUUAAUACCGCACACGAUCCACGGAUGAAAGCGGGGGACCUUCGGGCCUCGCGCUAUAGGGUUGGCCGAUGGCUGAUUAGCUAGUUGGUGGGGUAAAGGCCUACCAAGGCGACGAUCAGUAGCUGGUCUGAGAGGACGACCAGCCACACUGGGACUAAGACACGGCCCAGACUCCGACGGGAGGCAGCAGUGGGGAAUUUUGGACAAUGGGCGAAAGCCUGAUCCAGCAAUGCCGCGUGUGUGAAGAAGGCCUUCGGGUUGUAAAGCACUUUUGUCCGGAAAGAAAUCCUUGGCUCUAAUACAGGCGGAGGAUGACGGUACCGGAAGAAUAAGCACCGGCUAACUACGUG
rnacentral:rRNA from 1 species